rnacentral:tRNA from 1 species
GUCUCGGUAGUGUAAGGGAUGAAGAGUACGGUGCCCGGAAAGCACAAGUACGGGUUCAAGUCCUGUCCGAGGCA